CUCAUGUUGUUCUUCUUUGUUUGAGGGAGUUAAAAAUGUUCGUCUGAGGAAUGGAGGAAACAAGUUAAGUAAUUUAAAUCAGGCACUUUCAUAGUCGCCUAAUACACUGGGUCCUUCGGUCCUUCCCUACUUACGAACCGAAGGUCUUUUCUGGUUGCGUGUCCACGUGGAGAAGAUCAAGUGAAAACGGUUGUCACUAUGGGCUCUACAAGUGGCUAUUUCGUUGCAAUUUGGAUGGAUGUGGCAUUACGUUGUGACACGUGGGAAACGGUCUUAUGUUGGCCACCAUGAGAGCCAGGAGCAACUGCUUUUGAAUUCCAGGUGAACAGCCAAUGUGGUAAAAGGCUGCUACAGCAACAUGAGCAGGGUUGCAUGAAACCUGGGUCCAUCUAUAUUCUCCUUUCUAGUGGAGGUAAAUUACCCAGCAUUCAAUGACUAGUGUGUGAGAUGCUGUAUUCUACAAAUGUGUAUCUGCACUACAUACACUAUCCUCUAAAUCAUUGGAUUCAGGUUUUCCAAUCACUUCCAUGGCCACAGUUGUAUAAAAUCAAGGACCUAGGCACAAAGACUGCUUCUACAAACAUCUGUGAAAGAAUGGGUCUCGCUCACGUAAAAUCAGAGCGGGGUCAGCGCAUGCUGAGGCGUGCAAAAGUCGCAUGCAAAGUUUCAAUUCUGUUUUGACAUGUACACAGUAAAUUACUGUUAUGUCUGUGGGUCAAUUUGACUUGUAUUUGAAUUUUCUAAGGCAGACCCAGAAUAGCAUUUCUUUGUUGUAUUUUUUGUUUUGUUUUUAAUACCCCAUGAUGUUUAAAAAAGUAGCUUGUCUCCACUUAUUUCAAUACAGAAAAAUAUUGUGAGCUAUAGAUGGUAAAAAUGAGCUAUCACUUCCUAUUUCAAUCUAUCUGAAAAGCUAUUAAACCUGUUGUAUUUCUUGACA